rnacentral:lncRNA from 1 species
UUGACAUUACAUGAACUUGGCCACUUGGGGCAUAUAUAUAUCUCCUCUCAUUCUCUCUUCAUCAAUUGACUUUCUUAUGGCAAAAGAGACAUUUACCUUAACAUCUACCUUAGUUUAUAAAAAACCAUAAACACAAGGUAAAAAUUUUUUAAAAAAUGUCAAAUCUAUCCACAAGAAUAUAUAUUUUUUUCACAACAAGAAUCAAAUAAACCCCACAAAAAAGAACUUUUUUUUUUAUUCUUCAAAAAUGCUCUCAAGAUGAGGCCUCCAUUCACUAGCCUGAACCGUCCGGCGUGCUCUCCGGUGACCACCCUUUUUCUUCUCCGACACCACCACAACAUCCGAAGAUUGCACCGCAACGACGACAUCAUUGGAUUCGACCACUUUCUUCACCUUUUUUAAAUCUUUUUGUUGCGGGUUUCUUUUAUUUUCUGGCACUGAUGAAGAUGGGAUCAAGAAAUAUAUGCUACCUCUUUUUAGCUCGGUACUGUUUGAUAAGAUCAAGAUUUUCCUAACAACACCUUGAGAACAUGGUUUACUUAACACAUGAUUAGGGUAGUUCUUUAAAACCUCACCCGCGGUGACCGGACGAGUGAUCUCUUCAACGUAGCCGUUUAGAUGAACUAUUCUGAUCAGAUCAAGAGCACCACAUGGAAGAACACAAGCCAAACAACAUCUUAAACUGUUG